rnacentral:rRNA from 1 species
AUGAACGCUAGCUACAGGCUUAACACAUGCAAGUCGAGGGGCAGCAUGAACUUAGCUUGCUAAGUUUGAUGGCGACCGGCGCACGGGUGAGUAACACGUAUCCAACCUGCCGAUGACUCGGGGAUAGCCUUUCGAAAGAAAGAUUAAUACCCGAUGGCAUAGUUCUUCCGCAUGGUAGAACUAUUAAAGAAUUUCGGUCAUCGAUGGGGAUGCGUUCCAUUAGGUUGUUGGCGGGGUAACGGCCCACCAAGCCUUCGAUGGAUAGGGGUUCUGAGAGGAAGGUCCCCCACAUUGGAACUGAGACACGGUCCAAACUCCUACGGGAGGCAGCAGUGAGGAAUAUUGGUCAAUGGACGAGAGUCUGAACCAGCCAAGUAGCGUGAAGGAUGACUGCCCUAUGGGUUGUAAACUUCUUUUAUACGGGAAUAAAGUGAGGCACGUGUGCCUUUUUGUAUGUACCGUAUGAAUAAGGAUCGGCUAACUCCGUGCCAGCAGCCGCGGUAAUACGGAGGAUCCGAGCGUUAUCCGGAUUUAUUGGGUUUAAAGGGAGCGUAGGCGGACGCUUAAGUCAGUUGUGAAAGUUUGCGGCUCAACCGUAAAAUUGCAGUUGAUACUGGGUGUCUUGAGUACAGUAGAGGCAGGCGGAAUUCGUGGUGUAGCGGUGAAAUGCUUAGAUAUCACGAAGAACUCCGAUUGCGAAGGCAGCCUGCUGGACUGUAACUGACGCUGAUGCUCGAAAGUGUGGGUAUCAAACAGGAUUAGAUACCCUGGUAGUCCACGCCGUAAACGAUGUCGACUUGGAGGUUGUGCCCUUGAGGCGUGGCUUCCGGAGCUAACGCGUUAAGUCGACCGCCUGGGGAGUACGGCCGCAAGGUUGAAACUCAAAGGAAUUGACGGGGGCCCGCACAAGCGGAGGAACAUGUGGUUUAAUUCGAUGAUACGCGAGGAACCUUACCCGGGCUUGAAUUGCAACUGAAUGAUGUGGAGACAUGUCAGCCGCAAGGCAGUUGUGAAGGUGCUGCAUGGUUGUCGUCAGCUCGUGCCGUGAGGUGUCGGCUUAAGUGCCAUAACGAGCGCAACCCUUAUCGAUAGUUACCAUCAGGUUAUGCUGGGGACUCUGUCGAGACUGCCGUCGUAAGAUGUGAGGAAGGUGGGGAUGACGUCAAAUCAGCACGGCCCUUACGUCCGGGGCUACACACGUGUUACAAUGGGGGGUACAGAAGGCAGCUACACGGCGACGUGAUGCUAAUCCCUAAAGCCUCUCUCAGUUCGGAUUGGAGUCUGCAACCCGACUCCAUGAAGCUGGAUUCGCUAGUAAUCGCGCAUCAGCCACGGCGCGGUGAAUACGUUCCCGGGCCUUGUACACACCGCCCGUCAAGCCAUGAAAGCCGGGGGUACCUGAAGUGCGUAACCGCAAGGAGCGCCCUAGGGUAAAACUGGUGAUUGGGGCU